GUCUACAGCCAUGCCACCCUGAACAUGCUCGAUCUCCUCUGAUCUCGGAAGCUAAGCAGGGUCGGGCCUGGUUAGUACUUGGAUGGCAGACCACCUAGGAAAACCAGGUGCUGUAGACA
rnacentral:rRNA from 1 species